rnacentral:rRNA from 1 species
UCAUUGAAUCUAUCGUGCCCACACUGCGAAAAUACUUAUGCCCUUCUGGAGUAGGCAGACUUUAUUGUUUGCUCUUCGGUUGCGCAGGUCAGGGGCUGGCUCCUUUUGGUGUCAGUUGACUUGACUGGGCGGGUCCAAUACCAGCCGGACCUCACUUUGCCUUCUAGGCUUGGGGUUCUGCCGGUUGUGAGGGGUGGCUGUUUAACCCACUUUAAGCAAUCAGUUCUGAAGGCAGAUCUAUUGGCUGGCUUUGCUGGCUGUAGACUGAUCAAUAAUAGACAACUCUCAACAACGGAUAUCUUGGCUCCCGUAACGAUGAAGAACGCAGCGAAAUGCGAUACGUAGUGUGAAUUGCAGAAUUCCGUGAACCAUCGAAUCUUUGAACGCAAAUUGCGCUCGAGGCCUCGGCCAAGAGCAUGUCUGCCUCAGCGUCGGCUACUACCCUCAACCAAGUUUCCUAUUUUUACUGGGGAUGUUUCUUGUUCUUAUUUGCGGUGUCUCCUAUGUCAAUAGGAGAUGUCCCUUAUUUUUAUGAGGGAUAUUACCUGUCCUUGAUAGGAAACGCCGGUUGGAUCUGGCUGUCCGGAUUGCCUUUCAGGUUGCCGGUCAGCUGAAAUAUAUUCACGCUCUGGAGGCUGCUUUCCUUUCGAGGAAAGGCGAGUUCCGAUUUGGUAGGUGACCUUUGCCGGUUACAUGCCUUCGUUGCCCGCUAGGUUUCCCAGUAUGCGUUGUACAGGACGCCUUUUGGCUUUCGACC